AGUGUAUAUGUAAUUAUAGGUUAUGGCGAUGAGCCUUAUAAGUGUAUAUGUAAUUAUAGGUUAUGGCGAUGAGCCUUAUAAGUGUAUAUGUAAUUAUAGGUUAUGGCGAUGAGCCUUAUAAGUGUAUAUGUAAUUAUAGGUUAUGGUGAUGAGCCUUAUAAGUGUAUAUGUAAUUAUAGGUUAUGGUGAUGAGCCUUAUAAGUGUAUAUGUAGGUUAUGGCGAUGAGCCUUAUAAGUGUAUAUGUAAUUAUAGGUUAUGGUGAUGAGCCUUGUAAGUGUAUAUGUAAUUAUAGGUUAUGGUGAUGAGCCUUAUAAGUGUAUAUGUAAUUAUAGGUUAUGGUGAUGAGUUGUCACAGCCAUCAGCAUUUGUAGAUAAAGGUCCUACUAUAUGGGACACAACAGAGACAGGUCAGUAAACAGAAUAUCUCUUGGAAUGACAAGAAGACCUGCACCCUGUGUGAAGGGGUCUUGGUGGGCAGUAGGGGACAAUUCAUUCCCAUUUUGUGCUAGGCCAUUUAGAGCUUUGUAUUAGAAGAAGUACUUUCAAGUCAGUUCUACUUUUGGGAACCAGUGCAGAGAGGAGUGUACAGGUGAGAUGUGUUCAAAUCGUUUUAGUUCUAGUAAUGUGUGAGCAGCGGCGUUCUUUAUUAGUUGGAGGCUCCAUCUGCUUAGAUUGAAUAAGUAGGCUAGCUGCUUUCACUAUUACAUUUGGACCAUACAGGACUCACACAUUUCCUCCCUGACACAUCUGACUUUUUCACCUGAUAAUGAGGCCUACUUCCAUUAGUUAGCGUCCUGACACAACUGACUUUUUCACCU